CCUACGGGAGGCAGCAGUGAGGAAUAUUGGUCAAUGGGCGUAAGCCUGAACCAGCCAAGUCGCGUGAGAGAUGAAGGUUCUAUGGAUCGUAAACCUCGUUUAUAAGGGAAUAAAGUGUGGGACGUGUCCUAUUUUUUAUGUACCUUAUGAAUAAGGAUCGGCUACCUCCGGGCCAGCAGCCGCGGUAAUACGGAGGAUCCGAGCGUUAUCCGGAUUUAUUGUGUUUAACGGGUGCGUAGGCGGCCUUUUAAGUCAGCGGUGAAAGUCUGUGGCUCAACCAUAGAAUUGCCGUUGAAACUGGGGGGCUUGAGUAUGUUUGAGGCAGGCGGAAUGCGUGGUGUAGCGGUGAAAUGCUCAGAUAUCACGCAGAACCCCGAUUGCGAAGGCAGCUUACCAAUCUAUAUCUGACGUUGAGGCACGAAAGCGUGGGGAGCAAACAGGAUUAGAUACCCUUGUAGUC
rnacentral:rRNA from 1 species